rnacentral:rRNA from 1 species
CUAGCGGCAGGCCUAAUACAUGCAAGUCGGACGGGAUCCGGUGGUAGCUUGCUACCAUUGGUGAGAGUGGCGCACGGGUGCGUAACGCGUGAGCAACCUACCUCUAUCAGGGGGAUAGCCUCUCGAAAGAGAGAUUAACACCGCAUAAUAUAUGGGACUGGCAUCAGUUUUAUAUUAAAUAUUUAUAGGAUAGAGAUGGGCUCGCGUGACAUUAGCUAGUUGGUAGGGUAACGGCCUACCAAGGCGACGAUGUCUAGGGGCUCUGAGAGGAGAAUCCCCCACACUGGUACUGAGACACGGACCAGACUCCUACGGGAGGCAGCAGUAAGGAAUAUUGGUCAAUGGGCGGAAGCCUGAACCAGCCAUGCCGCGUGCAGGAUGACUGCCCUAUGGGUUGUAAACUGCUUUUGUCCAGGAAUAAACCCAGAUACGUGUAUCUGGCUGAAUGUACUGGAAGAAUAAGGAUCGGCUAACUCCGUGCCAGCAGCCGCGGUAAUACGGAGGAUCCGAGCGUUAUCCGGAUUUAUUGGGUUUAAAGGGUGCGUAGGCGGCCCAUUAAGUCAGGGGUGAAAUACGGUGGCUCAACCAUCGCAGUGCCUUUGAUACUGAUGGGCUUGAAUCCAUUUGAAGUGGGCGGAAUAAGACAAGUAGCGGUGAAAUGCAUAGAUAUGUCUUAGAACUCCGAUUGCGAAGGCAGCUCACUAAGCUGGUAUUGACGCUGAUGCACGAAAGCGUGGGGAUCGAACAGGAUUAGAUACCCUGGUAGUCCACGCCCUAAACGAUGAUAACUCGAUGUUGGCGAUAGACAGCCAGCGUCCCAGCGAAAGCGUUAAGUUAUCCACCUGGGGAGUACGCCCGCAAGGGUGAAACUCAAAGGAAUUGACGGGGGCCCGCACAAGCGGAGGAGCAUGUGGUUUAAUUCGAUGAUACGCGAGGAACCUUAC